GGAGAGGUGGCUGAGUGGUUGAAAGCGCACGACUCGAAAUCGUGUUUACGUUUGUAGCGUAACGAGGGUUCGAAUCCCUCCCUCUCCG
rnacentral:tRNA from 1 species